CCUACGGGAGGCAGCAGUGGGGAAUAUUGCACAAUGGGCGCAAGCCUGAUGCAGCAACGCCGCGUGAGGGACGACGGCCUUCGGGUUGUAAACCUCUUUUAGUAGGGAAGAAGCGAAAGUGACGGUACCUGCAGAAAAAGCACCGGCUAACUACGUGCCAGCAGCCGCGGUAAUACGUAGGGUGCAAGCGUUAUCCGGAAUUAUUGGGCGUAAAGAGCUCGUAGGCGGUUUGUCGCGUCUGCUGUGAAAACUGGAGGCUCAACCUCCAGCCUGCAGUGGGUACGGGCAGACUAGAGUGCGGUAGGGGAGAUUGGAAUUCCUGGUGUAGCGGUGGAAUGCGCAGAUAUCAGGAGGAACACCGAUGGCGAAGGCAGAUCUCUGGGCCGUAACUGACGCUGAGGAGCGAAAGCAUGGGGAGCGAACAGGAUUAGAUACCCUGGUAGUCCAUGCCGUAAACGUUGGGAACUAGAUGUAGGGACCAUUCCACGGUUUCUGUGUCGCAGCUAACGCAUUAAGUUCCCCGCCUGGGGAGUACGGCCGCAAGGCUAAAACUUAGAAAGUAGUAGACGNGAGAGACGCGACGACGACGACGACGGAGGAGAG
rnacentral:rRNA from 1 species